UACAAACCAACCACUUCGAAUGAAAUCAAACGGGAAACCAAUUCAGGCUGCAAUCAAUCAAUCAUCAUAUAUUCAUCACUCCAUCUUCAUCUCUCCUCUCCCUCAUUUCUAGAGAGAGAGAGAGCAGAGCAGAGCUAGCAAGUUUCAUACGCACACAGAGGAAUUUUUGUUGACUGGAGUGUGUUUACUUUGAUUAUACACUGAGAGGAUCACGACGGAGAUGAAUUGCUGGGAGAAAAUGGCGAUUCCGAUGCGGAAAGUUUGGAUCGGAGUAUCCAGAAGGUUCGUGUUUCGCAAAACAGGGCUCAUCAAACUUGACAAAGAUGUGAGGACAUGUGAGUACGAGGAUAUCCAUAUCUUAUGGGACUUGCUGAAGAGGAACGAGGCAGACCUCGCCAGAAGCAGAAAGAGCCGUUCGUGGAGGUUCCAAUGGCCGCAAUGCUCCUCUUUGCUUCGCCACUGAUCUCAAUAAAUCCUGCUCCUGCUUUUGGAGUUUUGAACAAGCAUACAUAUGCAGUGUGUGUGAGCUCUGAAGAUCAUACCAGUUUGCUGUCUCUUACAGUAAUCAAUGUCCUCUUUUCUCUUGUGUCAUUGAAAUGUGAAGAUGUGAAAAAAUGUCCUAUGAUAUUUCUCCCCACACUCAACAGAGGUUUCUCUUUCUGUUUUUAUGCUGAAGGGAUGAUGGGGAUGGCUAUGUAUAAUGUUAUGGUGGCUCUCCAACUGUAUGUUUGUUGGAAUCAAAGAGCCCCUCCCAUUUCUUGAGAUGUUGUAACAAACUUUUCUGUUGUUUCCUUUUUUUAGUUUUCUUGCAUCAGCAAUCAUUUUA